rnacentral:rRNA from 1 species
GACGGAGGAUGCAAGCGUUAUCCGGAAUGAUUGGGCGUAAAGCGUCCGCAGGUGGCCGUUCAAGUCUGCUGCCAAAGACCGGGGCUUAACUUCGGAAAGGCAGUGGAAACUGAACAGCUAGAGUAUGGUAGGGGCAGAGGGAAUUCCUGGUGUAGCGGUGAAAUGCGUAGAGAUCAGGAAGAACAUCGGUGGCGAAGGCGCUCUGCUGGACCAUAACUGACACUCAGGGACGAAAGCUAGGGGAGCGAAUGGG